rnacentral:rRNA from 1 species
UACGUAGGGUGCAAGCGUUAAUCGGAAUUACUGGGCGUAAAGCGUGCGCAGGCGGUUUUUUAAGUCUGUCGUGAAAGGCCCGGGCUCAACCUGGGAAUUGCGAUGGAGACUGCAAGGCUUGAAUCUGGCAGAGGGGGGUAGAAUUCCACGUAUAGCAGUGAAAUGCGUAGAGAUGUGGAGGAACACCGAUGGCGAAGGCAGCCCCCUGGGUCAAGAUCGACGCUCAUGCACGAAAGCGUGGGGAGCAAACAGG